rnacentral:rRNA from 1 species
GUCCACGCCGUAAACGGUGGGUGCUAGGUGUGGGGAACUUUCCACGUUCUCCGUGCCGCAGCUAACGCAUUAAGCACCCCGCCUGGGGGAGUACGGCCGCAAGGCUAAAAACUCAAAGGAAUUGACGGGGGCCCGCACAAGCGGCGGAGCAUGCGGUUUAAUUCGAUGCAACGCGAAGAACCUUACCAAGGUUUGACAUAUAGGGAAAUCUCAUAGAGAUAUGAGGUCCGCAAGGGUCCUAUACAGGUGGUGCAUGGCUGUCGU